rnacentral:ncRNA from 2 species
UGUUGUCUUCAGGGCAGGGUGAAAUUCCCGACCGGCGGUGAAAGUCCGCGACCCACGUAUGUGGCUGAAUCUGUUAAGAUACCGAUAGUUAAAGUCUAGAUGAGAGAAGGCAGAC